UACGUAGGGUGCGAGCGUUAAUCGGAAUUACUGGGCGUAAAGCGUGCGUAGGCGGUUCGUUAAGUGCGUCGUGAAAGCCCCGGGCUCAACCUGGGAAUGGCGAUGGAAACUGGCGGGCUGGAGUAUGGCAGAGGGGGGUGGAAUUCCGCGUGUAGCGGUGAAAUGCGUAGAUAUCUGGAGGAACACCGGUGGCGAAGGCGGCAUCCUGGACCGACACUGACGCUGAGGCGCGAAAGCUAGGGGAGCAAACGGG
rnacentral:rRNA from 1 species